rnacentral:rRNA from 1 species
AUUGAACGCUGGCGGCGUGCUUAACACAUGCAAGUCGAUCGGUAACGCGGGGGCAACCCUGGCGACGAGAGGCGGACGGGUGAGGAACGCUUGGGAAUCUGCCUAUCAGCGGGGGACAACCCGGGGAAACUCGGGCUAAUACCGCAUACGCUCUACGGAGGCAAGCCGGGGACCGCAAGGCCUGGCACUGAUAGAUGAGCCCAAGUCGGAUUAGCUAGUUGGCGGGGUAACGGCCCACCAAGGCGACGAUCCGUAGCUGGUCUGAGAGGACGAUCAGCCACACUGGGACUGAGACACGGCCCAGACUCCUACGGGAGGCAGCAGUGGGGAAUAUUAGACAAUGGGGGAAACCCUGAUCCAGCGACGCCGCGUGGGUGAAGAAGGCCUGCGGGUUGUAAAGCCCUUUCGGUAGGGACGAAAGCUCUCGACCUAACACGUCGGGAGGUUGACUUAACCUACAAAAGAAGCACCGGCUAACUCUGUGCCAGCCGCCGCAGUAAGAC